UACAGAGGGGGCUAGCGUUGUUCGGAAUUACUGGGCGUAAAGCGCGCGUAGGCGGCUUUGUAAGUUAGAGGUGAAAGCCCGAAGCUCAACUUCGGAAUUGCCUUUAAGACUGCAUCGCUAGAAUCGUGGAGAGGUAAGUGGAAUUCCGAGUGUAGAGGUGAAAUUCGUAGAUAUUCGGAAGAACACCAGUGGCGAAGGCGACUUACUGGACACGUAUUGACGCUGAGGUGCGAAAGCGUGGGGAGCAAACAGG
rnacentral:rRNA from 1 species